UACGUAGGGGGCGAGCGUUGUCCGGAAUUAUUGGGCGUAAAGAGCGUGUAGGCGGUUCGGUAAGUCUGCCGUGAAAACCCAGGGCUCAACCCUGGGCGUGCGGUGGAUACUGCCGGGCUAGAGGGUGGUAGAGGCGAGUGGAAUUCCCGGUGUAGCGGUGAGAUGCGCAGAUAUCGGGAGGAACACCAGUAGCGAAGGCGGCUCGCUGGGCCAUACCUGACGCUGAGACGCGAAAGCGUGGGGAGCAAACAGG
rnacentral:rRNA from 1 species